CCUACUCCUUCCAAGUUUCUUUGGUUAUAUACCCAAGGAUCACUUUAGCCCUUUAAGCUAAAAUGGCAGAUGGACUUUGCUGAUGGUUAUCUUAGUAAAACACACUUCCAAAUAACAAAUAGAAAUGUCCCACCAGAUCUCAAGGAGAAAAACAAUGAUAACAUUGAACAAACCUUAUUUAUGCAUGUUGAAACCAAAUCUGUCCUAUCGGGAGGUCAGUCAGAGCAUGGUCAGUCAGUUAAUGAGCAUGGGAUCCUGUCUU